rnacentral:rRNA from 1 species
UACGGGGGGGGCAAGCGUUGUUCGGAAUUACUGGGCGUAAAGGGUUCGUAGGUGGCCUGCUAAGUCAGACGUGAAAUCCCUCGGCUCAACCGGGGAACUGCGUCUGAGACUGGAAGGCUUGAGUGCAGGAGAGGAACGCGGAAUUCCAGGUGUAGCGGUGAAAUGCGUAGAUAUCUGGAGGAACACCGGUGGCGAAGGCGGCGUUCUGGACUGCAACUGACACUGAGGAACGAAAGCCAGGGGAGCAAACGGG